GUGCUCGCUUUGGCAGCGCAUAUACUAAAAUUGGAACGAUACAGAGAAGAUUAGUAUGACCCAUACUCAAGGAUGAUGAAGUUGUUUCAGGGAAAUUAGAAGUAGUG